rnacentral:rRNA from 1 species
GUGGGGAAUAUUGCGCAAUGGGGGAAACCCUGACGCAGCGACGCCGUGUGAGGGAAGAAGGCUUUCGGGUCGUAAACCUCUGUCAGGAAGGAAGAACCUCUCAAGGCUGAACAAGCCUUGGGACUGACGGUACUUCCAGAGGAAGCACCGGCUAACUCCGUGCCAGCAGCCGCGGUAAUACGGAGGGUGCAAGCGUUAAUCGGAAUCACUGGGCGUAAAGCGCGCGUAGGCCGUCUUUUAAGUCGGACGUGAAAGCCCUCGGCUCAACCGGGGGACUGCGUUCGAUAAUGGGAGACUUGAGUCCUGGAGAGGGUGGCGGAAUUCCGGGUGUAGGAGUGAAAUCCGUAGAUAUCCGGAGGAACACCGGUGGCGAAGGCGGCCACCUGGACAGGUACUGACGCUGAGGCGCGAAAGCGUGGGGAGCAAACAGGAUUAGAAACCCCUGUAGUCC